AACGAACGCUGGCGGCGUGGAUAAGACAUGCAAGUCGAACGCUAAUUGCGGGGUAGCAAUAUUCCGCAGUUGGAGUGGCGCAAGGGUGCGUAACACGUGGGCAAUCUGCCGUGAAGUCCGGGAUAACCUGCUGAAAGGCGAGCUAAUACCGGAUGUGAAAAUCGGGAGGCAUCUUUUGAUUUUCAAAGUUGGGGACCGUAAGGCCUGACGCUUCAUGAUGAGCCCGCGGCCUAUCAGCUAGUUGGUGAGGUAACGGCCCACCAAGGCUAAGACGGGUAGCUGGUCUGAGAGGACGACCAGCCACACUGGAACUGAGACACGGUCCAGACACCUACGGGAGGCUG
rnacentral:rRNA from 1 species